rnacentral:rRNA from 1 species
UACGGGGGAACGAGCGUUGUUCGGAUUACUGGGCGUAAAGGGCACGCAGGCGGGAAAGCAAGUCAGGUGUGAAAUCUCUCAGCUUAACUGGGAGCCUGCAUUUGAUACUGCUUUUCUUGAGUACGAGAGAGGAUGGCGGAAUUCUUGGUGUAGCGGUGAAAUGCGUAGACAUCAAGAAGAACACCGGUGGCGAAGGCGGCCAUCUGGCUCGAUACUGACGCUCAGGUGCGAAGUCGGGGGGAGCAAACA